rfam:Pseudoflavonifractor capillosus ATCC 29799 B_capillosus-2.0.1_Cont351, whole genome shotgun sequence.
ACCAGAGUGAGAAAUGCCGGAUGAGUAGCGAGAAUUAUGUGGGAAUCAUAAUGGCGAAAAUUAAGGUUUCUGGGAAAGAUCGUCCGCUCAAGUAAGCCGGGAGCUAAGGCGAGGCCGCGAGGCGUAGUCGAUGCACAUACGGUUGAAAUUCCGUAGCCGCCGAAACUUUAAGCAUGCUGACACUUGGAGAUAGCCGGACCCGGGCGUUGGUUGACCCGGGCGUAAGGGACCGAAAUUAAAGUAGGGAAGCCGGCGAUGCUCUGAGGCGAGAAAAGGCAUGAGGUAUACUAAGGCGCCCGUACCGCAAACCGACACAGGUAGAUGAGGAGAGAAUCCUAAGGCCAACGGGAGAAGGGUUGUUAAGGAACUCGGCAAAAUUACCCCGUAACUUCGGGAGAAGGGGAGCCCCCUAAGGGGGGCCGCAGUGAAUAGGCCCAAGCGACUGUUUACCAAAAACACAGGUCUAUGCUAAAUCGAAAGAUGACGUAUAUGGGCUGACGCCUGCCCGGUGCUGGAAGGUUAAGAGGAGAUGUCAGAGGCAACUCGAAGCAUUGAAUUGAAGCCCCAGUAAACGGCGGCCGUAACUAUAACGGUCCUAAGGUAGCGAAAUUCCUUGUCAGGUAAGUUCUGACCCGCACGAAUGGCGUAACGAUUUGGGCACUGUCUCAACAGCCCACCCGGCGAAAUUGUUGUACUGGUGAAGAAGCCAGUUACCCGCAACUAGACGGAAAGACCCCAUGGAGCUUUACUGUAGCUUAAUACUGGAAAUCGGUAAAUCAUGUACAGGAUAGGUGGGAGACUUGGAAGUUUGGGCGUCAGCUCAGAUGGAGUCACCCUUGGGAUACCACCCUUGAUUUGCUGGUUUUCUAACCUGCGGCCCUGAAUCGGGUCGGGGGACACUGUUAGGUGGGCAGUUUGACUGGGGCGGUCGCCUCCAAAAAGGUAACGGAGGCGCUCAAAGGUUCGUUCAGCACGGACGGAAAUCGUGCAGUGAGUGUAAACGCAUAAACGAGCCUAACUGCGAGACCGACGGGUCGAGCAGUAACGAAAGUUGGAGUUAGUGAUCCGGCGGUAUGCAAGUGGAAGUGCCGUCGCUCAACGGAUAAAAGCUACCCUGGGGAUAACAGGCUGAUCUCCCCCAAGCGUCCACAGCGACGGGGAGGUUUGGCACCUCGAUGUCGGCUCGUCGCAUCCUGGGGCUGAAUUCGGUCCCAAGGGUUUGGCUGUUCGCCAAUUAAAGCGGCACGCGAGCUGGGUUCAGAACGUCGUGAGACAGUUCGGUCCCUAUCUGUUGCGGGCGUAAGAGACUUGAAGGGAGCUGUCCUUAGUACGAGAGGACCGGGAUGGACGUACCUCUGGUGCACCAGUUGUCCUGCCAAGGGCAUAGCUGGGUAGCUAUGUACGGACGAGAUAAACGCUGAAGGCAUCUAAGCGUGAAACUCCCCCUAAGAUGAGGUCUCUCACUCUUCGUGAGGUAAGGCUCGAUGUAGACUACAUCGUUGAUAGGCCGGAGGUGGAAGUGUGGUAACACAUGUAGCUGACCGGUACUAAUCAGCCGAGGGCUUGACCUU